ensembl:lncRNA
UUUUGGGUGUUUUUUUUCUUAUAAUAAUCUUUUAAUUUUUUUUUGAGUACAUGAUUCCGGGAUAUUUCUAAUGCAUCAUUUUAUGCGAAGGUAGAUAGGAUCGUGUACGAUUUCACUCGGAACAAAUUCUCCGAGAUCGUAACGCAGAUCGCUUGACUACCCGGGUAAAAUAAGACCGUUGCUAUUGAUCAAACGUGAAUUCCACCUGUGGAAUAAGAUCGUGGAAAUAGCCUACGUGAAUUUUAUGCUGAAGCAGGCGGUCCUCUCCUGAACACGUGUUGUCAAAUUCCUGCACCACCUCCAGUCCAACAAUC